AAAAAGUUUUAUUCUUGCUAUAAAAUUUAUUUUAUAAUUAUACCAUAUAUUAUUUCUCUUUUUAAUUAAAUAUUUAUUUUGUAGUGGUAAAUUUUAUUAAUUAGUUCAAGCUAGAUAUAGUAAUUUAUAUAUUUCCGGUUAAAAUCGUGCCAGCCGCCGCGGUUAUACGUGAGGGGAAAAUAAAUUUUAUUGAUUCAGCAGUUAGAUUUUUGUUUCCUUUAUAAUUAAUAUUUAUUAGGUGAAAUUUUAAUUUUAUUGUAAUAGGUUUAAUUGAAGCUGUGAAAUUUAUUUACUAAACAAGGAUUAGAUACCCUUUUAUUUUAAAUGUAAAUUUUGAUUUGGGUAGUAUUAGUUAUGUUCUUGAAACUCAAAGAAUUUGGCGGUAUUUUAUUCUUUUUAGAGGAACCUGUCCUGUAAUUGAUAAUCCACGAUGAUGAAAUACUUAUUUUUGUAUUCAAUUUGUAUACCUCCGUCAUCAGAAUAUCUUUUUGGAGUUAAUAUUCUAUUAAUAUAAAAUAUUUAAUGUCAGGUCAAGGUGCAAUUUAUGAAUAAGUAGAGAUGGGUUACAAUAAAAUUAUUUAUAUGGAUUAUUAUUAAUACUAAUAAUAUGAAGGUGGAUUUAAAAGUAAAUUUAUUUUCUUAAUAGAUUGAUAUUGGCUCUAAAAUAUGCACACAUCGCCCGUCGCUCUUAUUAUAAGAUAAGAUAAGUCGUAACAUAGUAGGAGUACCGGAAGGUGUUCCUAGAAAGGU
rnacentral:ncRNA from 1 species